UCUUCAGUAAGGUUAAUCCUUACCUGUUACUCUCACUGAGAGUUUCAGAAUAUGAUGAAUGAGAUGUGAUGAGGUAGUGAUUAUCUCUCUUCUCUUGGAAGGACCAGCAACACCUUCCAGGAGCCAUUCUGAU
ensembl:snoRNA U8 U8 small nucleolar RNA